CCUGCGCGACGGUCCCCGCGCGCGUGCGACGCUCCCGCUCCCCGCCGUGAGAGGCUCCGACACCAAGCGCUGGCCCACUCGGCAUCCCGGCGCGUGCGUCCCGACCCGCGCGCGAGGGCUGCUUGGGGACCCCACUGCCGGCGCUGCUGUCCUGCGGAACCCGCCCCGGAGUCAAGCACGGAGUUAGGACCGCAGGAGGGGGCCUUGGACCCGCAGUAUGGGCAACACCACCAAAGGGUGAAGGAGCUGGUGGGGGUGACAGAGGGGACAAUGAAACCCUCCGGGAAGCUUUCACGCAAAUAACACGCAGACGUGUUAACGCGACCCACGCGAGCUCCUUUCCAAUGGUCUCUCCAACCGGUCCCGGGGACACUGAACAGACUUGGAGCGGACUCCAACCUGAACCAAAGAUGUGGAGGAAAUAAACUCCUCCAGACCCUCCAAAUUUCAGGGCUGGAUAGGAACUGAGUAGGGAAAUUGUUCAGGCAAAAAUCUAAAGAUUUGAGACCUGUCUGGAACAGGAGGGCUGAAUGACUGUGGCUAAAUGAUAUGCCUCUGUAGCGCUGGGUGAUGUACAGAACAUUCCAGCUGGCAGAACUGGAAUCUGUGCUGUAGAUCUUAAAAUACUGGGCCAAUGUUAAAUUUACUAUGUGCACAGACAAGACUAUCUUUAUUCUUAGGACUUAAGAGGCAAAAGUACCUUCAAGUGAUUCAGGAAGGAAAAGACAUCUUGAUGAGCGGUGUGGUAAACUGAUUGGGCCAAAGAUUAACAGUGAGUCUGGGUCUCAGGAGUCCUAGGGUAUUUUUUUUUAUAGGUUUGAAGUUCUCUUUAAAUAAAAAGGCUUUUCAGAAACAUAAAUUAAGAACUGAAGCCAUAGAGGGUGGUAGUGUACACCUUUAAUCCCAGUACCCAGGAGGCAGAGGCAGGCAGAUCUCUGUGAGUUCAAGGCCAGCCUGGUCUACAGAGUGAGUUCCAGGACAGCCAAGGCUACACAGAGAAACCCUGUCUCCGAAAAGAAAAAAGAAAAAAAAGAGCUGAGUUCAGGUGAACAGUGUGUGUAUGUAUAUGUGCAUAUAAAGUAUGCAUGUGUAUGUGUGUACAUGUGUACACACGUGUGGGGUGUGCUCACGCACCCACGGGGAGGCCAGAGGCUGACAUCAGAUGUCUUCCAUUGCGCCCCACCUUACUCCUCUUCUUGAGAAUUUCAUGCAUGUAAACAAUGAAAUAUGGUCAGAUAUGUCCCCAUGUCCCACUUCCAACUCCUUCCAUGGCCACCUCAACACAUUCCCCUCACAACUUCAUGUCUUUUUUUUUUUUCCUUUCAGUAACCCAGUCUACUUGGUGCUGCCCAUAUGUACAAGGGUGUGGAGCAUGAGACUCAAGAAAAGGAUGUGACUACAUCCUCAGAAAAGAAUGACUCGCCUUUCUCCGGCAGCUGUCAAUGCCCGACAGCCCCGCAGUAAGGGGUGCUGGAAUUACAGGUGUACACCACUAUGGCUCGAGGACCUAUGUGAAAGAGGAGGUGGAGAGAGCGUAAGAGCCAGAGGUGACGGAUGACUCCAUGAAAACAGUGUCUUCCAGGCACAAUGGGACGUAUGAACUCACAGAGACUGUGGCAGCAUGCACAGGGCCUGCACAGGUUCCAGACAGACAGUCUCAGCACUGAGUGGGAGAAGUGAACACAGGCUCCCACCUCUAACCAAGAAGCUGUCUGUGAUUGGUACCUGCUGGAAACCGCGGGCAGAAAAGUGGCCCAGAACCACAGAAGCAUCAAAUUAGUGGUCAGCCCUUAACUGCAACUGUCCUGUGUUGCUGCAUUCUUACCAGCUGUCUGAGACUCGAUUCCUACAGCCAUGAGACGCCAAGCUGGGACAGAACUGUGAGGUCGGUCACUCCGUCCCAGUUCCUGUCUGUGGCCUUGGUCUAUGGGCAGGGCCCUGACAUCUGAUUCUUGGUGCCAGAGUGCAGACUCAUGGGUCCUGCCCCUGAGGACAAGGAGCUGGCUUCCUUCUCCCAGCAUGGAGGAAGCAGGUGGCAGGCAGUGCCCAAGCCACUGCUCUGCUGGCACAAGGCAAGGGCACAGGGACUGGGGAGAAAUGGUAAGUGCCCUGGAAGGUCUCAUCUUUACAGGACACCAGGCAGAGGUCUCUGACUUCCACACUCCACCAUACUCUUCCUUUUUGUUGAAUCAAAUAAAAACCAACCUGUUUGA